rnacentral:rRNA from 1 species
UACGUAGGGUGCAAGCGUUGUCCGGAAUUAUUGGGCGUAAAGAGCUCGUAGGCGGUCUGUCGCGUCGGGUGUGAAAAUCCAGGGCUUAACCCUGGACCUGCAUUCGAUACGGGCAGACUAGAGUUCGGUAGGGGAGACUGGAAUUCCUGGUGUAGCGGUGAAAUGCGCAGAUAUCAGGAGGAACACCGGUGGCGAAGGCGGGUCUCUGGGCCGAUACUGACGCUGAGGAGCGAAAGCGUGGGGAGCGAACAGG